rnacentral:rRNA from 1 species
CUACGGGGGGCUGCAGUGGGGAAUAUUGGACAAUGGGGGAAACCCUGAUCCAGCAAUGCCGCGUGUGUGAAGAAGGCCUGCGGGUUGUAAAGCACUUUCGGUUGGGAGGACUGCUUCUAGCACUAAUAUUGUUGGAAGUUGACGUUACCUUCAGAAGAAGCACCGGCUAACUCCGUGCCAGCAGCCGCGGUAAUACGGAGGGUGCAUGCGUUAAUCGGAAUUACUGGGCGUAAAGCGCGCGUAGGCGGCUAGAUCAGUCGGGAGUGAAAGCCCCGGGCUUAACCUGGGAACUGCAUCCGAUACUGUCUAGCUUGAGUACAGGAGAGGAGAGUGGAAUUCCACAUGUAGCGGUGAAAUGCGUAGAUAUGUGGAGGAACACCAAUGGCGAAGGCAGCUCUCUGGCCUGAUACUGACGCUGAGGUGCGAAAGCGUGGGGAGCAAACAGGAUUAGAUACCCUUGUAGUC